CUCUUUAGCUUGGCAUUUGAAUCGGCUUUGCUGUUGCGAAGUAGAGUGGCGGCUUCCGGCUGCCGAGGGGUCGAUCCAUUUGGGAAAUGUUGUGUACUUCGGUAUGCAUCUCAAUUGGACCCUGAUAUCAGGGCAAGAUUACCCGCUGAACUUAAGCAUAUUAAUAAGCGGAGGAAAAGAAACUAACAAGGAUUCCCCUAGUAACGGCGAGUGAAGCGGGAAGAGCUCAAGCUUAAAAUCUCCGUGCAAGUUUUGCGCGGCGAAUUGUAGUCUAUAGAGGCGUGAUCAGUGUGGGCGCUUGGGGCAAGUUCCUUGGAAGAGGACAGCAUGGAGGGUGAUACUCCCGUUCAUCCCUGAGUUGCUCGUGCGUACGAUCCGUUUUCUUUGAGUCGCGUUGUUUGGGAAUGCAGCGCAAAGUAGGUGGUAAAUUCCAUCUAAAGCUAAAUAUUGGUGCGAGACCGAUAGCGAACAAGUACCGUGAGGGAAAGAUGAAAAGAACUUUGAAAAGAGAGUUAAAGAGUACCUGAAACUGCUGAAAGGGAACCGAAUCGUUUCCAGUGUCUAUAAUCCGUGGUAUAUUUCAUUGGCGAGUGUGUGCGUGCGUGUGCUGUGGCAGCGGCUUUUUUGGCUGCGCUCGGCGUGUGUGCUGUGUGUGCUUGCUGGUGCCCUGUGCUGCGGUGGGACGUCAAGGUCAGUUCGUAUGCUGCGGGAAAUGGCCGCCGAGGAGGUAGGGCUUACGCUUGCGUUUGUCUGUUAUAUCUUGGUGGACGAGUAGUCGCGGUUGGGACUGAGGUGCCUACAACGUGUUUUUGAGUGGGCCUGUGUCUCUGUGUGCGCCGUGUGCGGAUAGCUUGCUAUGCGUGUGUGGUUGUGUGUGGAUUGAUGUGGGUUUUAACUUGUUGCCGUUCGGGACGUUGACGAAAUGGAGCGAUUUGACCCGUCUUGAAACACGGACCAAGGAGUCUAACAUGUGUGCAAGUGUUAGGGUGUGGAAACCCCAGCGCGAAAUGAAAGUGAAGGGCAGCGUAGUGUCUGAGUAGAAAUGCUGCGGGCUUCGGUCUGCGGUGUGGCACUAUCGACCGAUCAUGAACCUUCGUGUGAAAGAUUUGAGUUUGAGCACAUAUGUUGGUACCCGAAAGAUGGUGAACUAUGCCUGAGUAGGGUGAAGCCAGGGGAAACUCUGGUGGAAGCUCGUAGCGAUUCUGACGUGCAAAUCGAUCGUCAAACUUGGGUAUAGGGGCGAAAGACUAAUCGAACCAUCUAGUAGCUGGUUCCCUCCGAAAUUUCCCUCAGGAUAGCAGCAACUUAUUUACGAUAGUUUUAUGAGGUAAAGCGAAUGAUUAGAGGAUUCGGGGAAGAAACUUCCUCGACCUAUUCUCAAACUUUAAAUCUGUAAGACCUGCAGGUUUCUUAAUUGAACUUGUGGAUGUGAAUAUCAAGUUGCUAGUGGGCCAUACGGGGUAAGCUCGUCUGGCGAUGCGGGAUGAACCGAACGCAAAGUUAAAGUGCCAAAAUGCUCGCUCACCUAGAUACCAUAAAAGGUGUUGGUUCAUUUAGACAGCAGGACGGUGGCCAUGGAAGUCGGAAUCCGCUAAGGAGUGUGUAACAACUCACCUGCCGAAUGAACUAGCCCUGAAAAUGGAUGGCGCUAAAGCGGGCUACUUAUACUUUGCCGUUAGCGCGAUAGCAUUUAUAAUGUACGCGUUAAUGAGUAGGAGGGCGUGAAGGUCGUGAAGAAGCUCGUGGCGUGAGCCUGAGUGAAACGGCCUUUAGUGCAGAUCUUGGUGGUAGUAGCAAAUAUUCAAAUGCGAACUUUGAAGACUGAAGUGGAGAAAGGUUCCGUGUGAUCAGUAAUUGGACACGGGUGAGUCGAUCCUAAGAGAUAGGAUAAUUCCGUUUGAAAGCUGGGCUGUUUGAGGCGUGGGGUUCGUCCUUGCGUUUUGUAUGCAGCCUCGUGUAUCGAAAGGGAAUCAGGUUAAUAUUCCUGAACCGAGACGUGGAUAAUAUGUGUAACACAACCGACCCAGGAGACGCUAGCGUGUGCCCAGGGAAGAUUCUCUUUUCUUUU